rnacentral:rRNA from 1 species
GAUGAACGCUGGCGGCGUGCCUAAUACAUGCAAGUCGAGCGAACAGACGAGGAGCUUGCUCCUCUGACGUUAGCGGCGGACGGGUGAGUAACACGUGGAUAACCUACCUAUAAGACUGGGAUAACUUCGGGAAACCGGAGCUAAUACCGGAUAAUAUAUUGAACCGCAUGGUUCAAUAGUGAAAGACGGUUUUGCUGUCACUUAUAGAUGGAUCCGCGCCGCAUUAGCUAGUUGGUAAGGUAACGGCUUACCAAGGCAACGAUGCGUAGCCGACCUGAGAGGGUGAUCGGCCACACUGGAACUGAGACACGGUCCAGACUCCUACGGGAGGCAGCAGUAGGGAAUCUUCCGCAAUGGGCGAAAGCCUGACGGAGCAACGCCGCGUGAGUGAUGAAGGUCUUCCGAUCGUAAAACUCUGUUAUUAGGGAAGAACAAAUGUGUAAGUAACUAUGCACGUCUUGACGGUACCUAAUCAGAAAGCCACGGCUAACUACGU